UUUGCACCCAAACCCAAAGAUCACAUGAUGGAAGUGAUGUGAUUUUAGUGUGGCGUGCACACAGCAAAGGUUCGCCUUGUCGCCUUUCUCUGAUGCUGCAGUGCCUUUGAAAGUGAAUUCAAGGCUCAACAUGU